rnacentral:rRNA from 1 species
UGGGGAAUUUUGGACAAUGGGCGCAAGCCUGAUCCAGCCAUGCCGCGUGUCUGAAGAAGGCCUUCGGGUUGUAAAGGACUUUUGUCAGGGAAGAAAAGGCUGUUGCUAAUAUCGACAGCUGAUGACGGUACCUGAAGAAUAAGCACCGGCUAACUACGUGCCAGCAGCCGCGGUAAUACGUAGGGUGCGAGCGUUAAUCGGAAUUACUAGGCGUAAAGCGGGCGCAGACGGUUACUUAAGCAGGAUGUGAAAUCCCCGGGCUCAACCUGGGAACUGCGUUCUGAACUGGGUGACUAGAGUGUGUCAGAGGGAGGUAGAAUUCCACGUGUAGCAGUGAAAUGCGUAGAGAUGUGGAGGAAUACCGAUGGCGAAGGCAGCCUCCUGGGAUAACACUGACGUUCAUGCCCGAAAGCGUGGGUAGCAAACAGGAUUAGAUACCCUGGUAGUCCACGCCCUAAACGAUGUCGAUUAGCUGUUGGGCAGCUUGACUGCUUAGUAGCGAAGCUAACGCGUGAAAUCGACCGCCUGGGGAGUACGGUCGCAAGAUUA